AGUCAGUCGCAGCUCGCGCGUGCGGGAGGGAGGGAGGACACAUUGAAGCUCAUAGAAAGCUCGUGCGACAGUUUUAUCCUCGAUGAUUAUUUGUUUUUUUUUUUACUCUAUUUCCUCUGAUUGGAUGCGUUCAGAUCACGCAUCGAUCUCGGCGGGAUUGAAAUAGUUGGAGGAUAUUGACUGGAGUGGAGUUAGCUUAAUGUGCAAGUAAGUGGGAUGCUGCCUUUAUGUGAUUGAGUUGUCUCUGGCUUCUGUGUAUUUAUAUUUUAUUUUAGUCCACAGCCUGCUUUUUAAAGGCAGUUGCAUGUAUUCCUGGAGGCUGCUUAAUUCUGGUGUGUUUCUUGUAAACUGUAGCUGUGACAUUAGCAUUAAAGGAUGUUUGGUGGGAACUUUAUUGUCUUAAAGGCCCACUGCUGUGUGCCUCAAAACUGAUGCAGUCCUAACAAUGUAUAUAUAAAAAAUAACAACAACCCUGACAGCCUAAAAAAUGGGUUUAUUUACCACCAAAUGAUUGGGACAGGGUUGCAAAUGGAUGGGUUAGUGUGUCUGAUAAGGCCUUGCUUCAAGUGUUUCAAGGCAAAAAGUGCCACCUCAGCAUCAAACCGAGACUGUGGUUGAGCAUGCUUAGAGUUUUGGCAUCACAGUGUGUUUUAAAAUGGUUUCUUAAAGUUGAACUUCAUGAUGGGCCGAGAUGUGUGAGUGUGUGUGGAUGUGAAACACGUCUUUGAAGCCAGUGCCUCAUUUUAUUCAUCUAUUGAACUUGUUUUCAUCUCCUUAUGAGAAUUUCACAGCUGAAAUCCACGGUAGAGCUUUUCUUUUAUUGUGCAUCUUGUCUAUAUGUUUUGUGUGUGUGUGAGUGAGUGAGUGAGUGUGUGUGUAUGAGGAGCUCAGUGUGAACACAGGCAGCCUCUCUUUCGCUCUCUCUCCCUCCUUCAUCCUCUCCUCUCUCUCUGUUGGUGUUGGAGGGGCGGCCCCUUUAAGAGACGACGGGUGUUAGUUUGUGUCUUUGGUUAUCUAGCUGUAUGAGUUUUAAUUUCAUAAAGCUAGAGAACCGAAAGUACGAACUGACGCCGAGCACUUCGGAACCCAGGUGAUGAUGGGGGGGAUCCUCUCGCUCGCUCCGGCAUGGAGGAGGAAGAGGGGGAGGAGGAGGAAGCAGCAGCGGCAGGAGGAAAGCAGCAGCAGGGACGGAUGCUGAGGGGAGGCUGCACGAGGCUUCCGUGGAGGAGGAGGAGGAGGAGGUUGUGGAGGUUUUAGAGCUCGAGCAGAAACCCCCGGUGUGAUGUGAAUGUCGUUGGUCCACCUCAGGUUCAGAGGAGUCCUCCGCGUGUCUGCGAGCGCGUGAAUGUUGCUGCGUUUAAGGGGCUCGUGUUGUGGGCACCGCGGUGAUGCUUAAGGCCUAUAAUGAUGAAGAAAAUUGACAUUUCGUUGAAACGUUGCGCAUGUGGACAGUGCGCACCAAAACCUCCUCCGUGUGUUGUCGAGUAGUUGUCAUAACUGUGUGGGUGUUCUUACAUUAAUAUCUGGAGGGGCUUGACAGAAAUAGUUAAAAGAUUCCUCUGAUUGGUCCAACCUGGAAUCACGUGACAGUGUUGGCAGCAGCAGUAACUCGGUAUUUCAGAUCUCACAUGUUGGUUAUUGUGUUCUCUUUCCAGGUGGAGAAGUUAGCAUUGAGCAGCAAGGCCCCAUUAAUUAGAUUAAUUAGUUCUCUUGGGUUGCAUCUAGACUCCCUCACUCCCUUGUUUGUUUCUUUCAUUAUGUUGUUGACUAACUAUUUCCUCCUGGCUGUAAAGGAGUGUUAACUAUAAUAGUGUAAAAGGGUUUGGAAUGGUCUGAUCAAGUAUUUUAGCUCUGUGAAUUAAAAACAUACAUUUGUUUUGUUUCAGUUUUUUCAGGGUCACCUAAUGUGGGGUGUUUGACCAUUUGCUACCAAACCAAAACAUGCAGCAUAUACACCACAUCCAGAUCACCAGUGCAAACAAAAAAAAAAGAAAAACAGGCCCUAUGCACCACCAUCUUCAUCCUGUUUCCAACAUGCUCUCAUCACUGCGUUUGAAUCCGGGUUAGACAUGGCAGAUGCGUUCAAAUUUGUGUUUUGCAGGGUGGAUUAUUUUUGUGUUUGCCUGCUAGAUAAGAACAAAAUAGGACAUGGGCUCAGAGUUUGAUCUAUUCUUAGAGCGGAAUCAGCGAGCCUCGGAGAUGACUGAAUAUCCCUGAAGUCCCAGCAUGCUCUAUUUAGACCAUGACUGACAACAUUUGAUGUGCGCCGUUAGACAAGAGAGCCGGGAUGGUGUGUGAGCGAGUGUGCGUGUGUGUGUGAGUGUUGUUGAUGCUUGCAUAUGUGAACUAAUGUGCUAACAUACGAUUUGACCCCCAUGUCCUCCAUCUUGGUGUGAUACAAAGCAGAUCCUGGUGACGAUUCCACCUCAAUGGUUACAGAUUUUAGCAAAGGCAUUGUUGCGUCCUAUAAACAGUCAGUAGCAUAUGGCAACUUUGCUGCUGCUCUGGAGACAUAUACCACACAUCAUUGUUUUUUGGUGUGUUUUUCUUCUUAAUGUGUGACUCUUCCAGCGUCACUUUAUGUUUUUUGCUUUUCUUAAGCUGUUGAUUUACUGUUGAAGCAACAGAAAAUAUAAACAUGCUCUCUCAGGAGCAAAAUAAUUAAAAGUGUGUGGAGAAAAAAAAGCAAACAUGAAGUGCUGUUAGCUGCAAGGUCAACAACACUGCAUUCAUUUCUUCUUUUCUUCCACUGCAUUGAAAGCCUCUAUUUAUCCCUUAAGUGAUUUGUUUUGUUGAAAAGUAAGCAUACCCUGAUCUUCUUUUCUUUUCUUUUCUCUUGAUAGGAAAAUGACACCACCUCGGGAUAAAGACAAGCUGCCACCAGACAGGAUGAGGAGCGACAGAGAGCCUGCAGGUAAAUAUCAGAGAAACAUUGAGAAAUUAUCCCCUUGUUACAAGAUAAUGCUGCUGAAAGCACCAAGAGUUUGGGUGUUUGGGUAUUUAACCUUGUACAUAUUUUGUACGUAUCUUUGAUGUUUUGAAGUUGUCACUGUCAGUGUUUGCUAAUAGGAGCUCUCAGAUGGUUUCAUUUUUUAGAGUCUUGCAUAAGUGAUGGUGCAGCAUUCCUGGUUCUUGAUUUUCUUCCAUAUUUGUUGAGCUGUGAGGAUGGAGCUUGUUGUGUGUGUGCAUGUGUGUGUGUGUCGUGUGGGUGUUAAAAAAAAAAAAAGUCUGACCCUGUAUUUCUGAAAUAUUGAGGAUUUUCUGUUUUGCAUCAAGAAUGACUUGUGCUGUAGUGGACCACGCACGUCUUAUUCAAGCAGGAAGGAGCGUUAAGCGGGACAUUUAUAAGCUGGUUUUACUCGGCCACAGUGUAAAUGUCUGUUUUAUAUCAUCCAUAUAUGUAUCAUUCAGACUGUGUGGAGCUAUAGUACCCUACAGCACCACAGAGUAAACGCUGUGAUUUGAGCUAGUGAAGUAAGACCUCCAUAUUGAAUUCCAUCAUUCCUUUGAAGUAUUAACAUCUUUUACAUUGUACAUCACCCCCAUCCUCCUCCUACACACACACACACACAUGCACACACACGUCUCUCUUUCAUACUCUCACGUCCAGCGUUUUAUCCCUUUAAACACUGUGAUCCUAUUUGUCAGGUAGAGUGUGUGGUAGGUGCAGGGGAGGUGGCCGUGUAAUCUUUGCUGCGGUUCUUUAUCCCGUUAGGAGAACGCGUACGACGUUUGGAGCUGCUCAUGUGGAAAGAGCGUUUGGGUGGCUCUGUCCUUUUUGGCGCUAAUGCCUAGACAAGUCACCCUCCCCUCGCUCAAAGUCUCCUGAUUAUUGUGAGCAAAGUGACGGCAUGCAUAGAGGUAUGCAUGGUUUAGCGAAGGCAGCAUUAGGUCAAAGUUGGAAUAUCGUAGAUUACAAAAGGGAGCUAGGAAGUUAAGCACAGUGAGAAGUUUAUUUUUUCACUUUUAAAUCAAAAUUUAAUUCCCAAAUCUUUUGGCUCUUGAGGAAUAAAAUGUUUUGGUGUUAUUUUAGCGAGGACUGAAACAGACAUUCCUCGCUUUUCAGUUGUCUGUCUUUUCCCUCCAAUUCCACCCCCAAAAAAGUCCCACGUUAGGAAUUAAACAAUAAGUACACAUUGUUAGCAAGGUCAAAUCUUCAUGGUUCCACAACCUUGAGGCUCAAUCUAAAGCUCAGUUAUUCAAAUUUAGUGUGGCGUUCUUUAAGGCGCCCAGAUUUUCCCAAGCUUUCGAUUAGCAUAUGCAAGGGCCGGCCUGUGCUGCUGUUUUCUAAAGUGGAUGUAAAUUAUAACCUCAGUAUUAUACAGGCUGAUGGGAGAUAAAUCUCUGCAGUAAUGCAUUGCAGGGAGUGGGGGUAGGGUGGGUGGGGGUGCUGUAAAGGGGUUGUGCGUUUGUGUGUGUGUGUGUGCGAGGUACUGUACAAUAGCCGGUGGCAGAUGGAAUACAGACUAGCAAAGGGCUGGCUGAUAGCAUGCUAAACUCCCUUUUUACCGGCUUUAGUUUGUCCGAUUUUUACAGAUCCUGGACAAAAAAGCAGAGAUUUUCAGAGGAGAUACUUCUGAAAUAAAAAUGUUAAAUCAGCUACAUUACUGGCGAGAUGAAUUUGCAAGUGUGUACACAUUGUUUUAAAACAAAUAUUAACACAGGAAGAUUACUAAGUCGAAAUCUGCACUUGUGCGGUCCAAAGGGCUGAGGCUUCAGGCCUCACGAGCUGAGUGCAGAUCUUUUUGGAAUCUCUAUGCAAACUAGGGCUUGAAUAAUGAGAUGUAUUUAUGAAGGGCUGGGAAGGGGGUCCCUGCUUUUGAAAGCAAGUAGGCCGGAGCCUGAAUGGGAUGGAGGGAGGUGGGGUUGAAGGAGAAGGAGGGGGGGAUGAGGGGUGUGUGUGUGUGUGUGUGAGAAGAGGGGGUACAGGGGGCCCCCAGCAGCCCGGGCCUCGGCUGAGGCAGCUGUGAAAAGGGGUCCCGUCUUUUUCCCACGCCCAGCAAGACGCGAAACACUGCCGCGGCUCGCUAGGGUCAAGUCCCAUCGCUAAUAUAUACACGCAUACAUACACACGCACGCACGCACACGCGGGGAGAGCGAGGGAGAGUUGUGUGUGUAAAAGUUGUGCAAAUUAACAAGCUGUCUGGGAAGCUCUGUGACAUAGGGACACCUGCUAUACUCCCAGAAUGCUUUGCAGCCUCAUCAAGGGCCACUGGGACAACAAUUAGGUCAUAGCUUCAACUUGAACUUAAAAAUUGGCUGAAGAUUGAAAAGAGUCUGGAUCAUAUUUCUCUCUGCUGUUUUCGAUCUAAACGUUAAAAAAAUAAAAAUAACACUUUAAUGAUUCUGCUCUUGCUAAGUUUUAAAAAUACAGUUUCUAAAAUAGUUUUCUAAAAUAGUGAUCAUUGUUAGAUUUUGAAGGAAAACGUGCUUUUUUUUAUUUUUGCAACUCUAGUGUGCAAAAACACAAGUAAAUGCUGAAAUGUUGAACUUGUACGAUUGUUGCUGUGUCCAUUGACGCAGAGACAAACUUGGCCUUGUGCUUGAUCCGAGACCCUAACUGUCAACUUGGCAUUGUCUGUCUGCACACACCCAUGAUCCCACCCACCCACACGCACGCACACACACAGAGCUUGUCUCAGGGACACACAAAAGAGAAUUUGAACAUGAAUUGGAGGAAGGUUGGAGAAAGAUAUUGAGGAAUGUUUUAAGUCUGAACUCUGACCUUUUGUGCUUCUUUAAAUUUGAAAACAGGCACAAUGUGAGAGACCAAAAACACUGACGACCGACGAUGAGCCUGAAAAGAGAGGCAAAAAUCCUACUCUUAAAAAAUAAUCUCCUUGGUCUAAAUCUUGUGUGAAAUUGUAGUUUCUUGUUUAGAUAUCAGCUUGUAUCUUUGACCACCCAUUGUUGUUUACAGCAGCCAUGCUCCUUUCUUCCUCUUGAAGCUGGUGUCACACCCAUUCCUCCCCUCAAGAUACUGGCACACCAAUCAAAUCGGUGCAUCACUUCUUUCACUCCCCGCCGUAGCUGCAUCAGAGCGGUGUCACACUUAUUCUCUUCCCCCUGCCUACUCCAGCUACUUUCUUGAAUUCCACAUGGAGACUCUCCUGUUAUGGUUUUUAGAAUAUUAGCAAAAGCAUCCAAUCUUUUUCUUUUUUUGGUGUCUCACCCUCCUCCUCCCCUGCUCCUCCUCCUCCUCCUCUUCGUCAUCAUUUUCCCUCCUAUUCAGAGAAGUCUGAAAUAGAGAGGGGGCUCCUUCUAAUUAGCUCUGUAAAGAUGCUUUGUGGCGGUCAGUGUGGCCACCAGUGUGUGCAGAGAGAGGUGAUGUGUGACAGCUAGUGUUAGCAUUAAGAACAUGUGUAUGGGCCCUUAAUGAGGUUUGUUAGCUGAGUGUGUAUCCUGCCGUUUGAAUGCACCCUCGGCAGCCUUUGAAGGAACGGAGAUGAAGAGAGCGAGGAGGAGGAGGUGGAAAAGGAGAGAGGAGUCUUUCAGCGUGGCAGGUUGCAGAAUACAGAUUAUGCAUUAUGCUCAGUGUGGUUUCUAUUUGAACGGAAGAUGAGGGGAGCAUAAUGCUUCACUUGCACGUUGUCUGGGGAAAACGUGGGAAAUAAACGCAGGUCAUCUCGCUCAUCAGAUGUAAAGGAGUUAUUUACCUGGUCUUAUGACAUUUGCAGUGAUUCCAGUAAGUCUUAACGGUAUAAGAUAAGCGAAACAGGAGAGCGAUAGAGCUGAUUUCCUGUAAAUAUAAGAUCAAAAUUCAUCUCUAUGUUUGUAUUUUAUGUAGUUUUUUUUUAAGGUCAAGCUUAUUAACAAGAUAUAAAAAGAAAGGGUAAAAAAAAUAGUAAAUGAUAAUAUAAAAUCAGUUAGAAGAGAGCUAACAAAAACAUCCAAAUUAAGAUUAGACGCGACAAAUUUAAAUAACCAAAUAAAAUAUCUAAAGAGCCAAAUGGAGAUAUAUAACUGCACAUCCUCAAUCCUGUUAGACCAGAUCAUGUUGAUGUACAGUAUGAUUCAGAAAGGACUCCCAUACGUUAUAAAAUGUUUAAUUAUUGUCACGCCGCCAAGCUUCUGGUGCAUGAGAGGCCUUAUGCUAAUUCGUUUAUAAUAUGUAGUCAUGAAUGGGGCAAAGAAGGACAGGAGCGAACUCACUGGAAAAGAGAGCACCAUUUAUAAAUCUGUAUUGGGACACCGAAGUGUUUGGAUCACCAAUUAUUUGUUAGUUUUUCUGCUUUUAAGGAUUUUACAAUGAGGAAACACACUACUGUUCAUCCAUGGAUAGACAAUCAGGAAAUAAUAAUCAUGUACUAUGAGGUGAGAAACAAACAUUUCAGACAGAAUGUGGAGCAGAUUUGGUGGUUAUCCUGGAGAUUAGAGAUGUCGAGCUGCAGAUGAGAGCCAGAGGUGGAAGGUAGAAGCUGAGAAAAACCAGGUUGGGAAAUGAGGGAUUGUAUGGAGGCAAAGAGGCGACCUGCUGGGCUUGCCUGCUGCCUCACAGAUUGUAAACUGUCACUCAGGAUGCACACAGACAAGCAGACAGACAUCAUUUGCCCACAUCACCCUCUACUACUGAAACUGUCGCCCCGCAGCCCCCUACUGCUCCCCUUCUUUUUCCUUCCCUUCACUCCAUUUCCAGGCCUUUUUCUCCUUGGCGCGUGCACAUGCAUGUAUAUAAACUCCCUAAUCUAUUUCCUCUAUUUUCCAGCUCCUCUCCUCUACUUUUCUCUCUGUCUCCGGGUUUUCCGUUGAUGAAAUGAGUCAGCUUGCAGCAUACUCUCCCCUCUCAUUGUUCGCUGGUUCGUUGCCUCUCCAUAGGAGGUAGAGAGUGUUUGGGCUCUUUCCCCUGUUUUACCAGUUUACCAGUGUAAUCCUUUACAGCGGCACAAUGAGCUCUCACUCCAGCCGCAGGAUUCUAUUAGGCUCCCAGAGAGACAUGGGAUCUCCAUAAACAUUUUCCAUCUGCCCCUGAACCCCCACCCACCCUCCCUACACAACCUAUACCACCUCAAACACAGCCAAAAUAAUACUUUCCUUUAUGCAUUAAAAGCAGAACUCUGUUUUUUACCCAUCCACAGAGAAGAGAGAACAAAAUCGUACACACGCACAUUACAAACGACUUGUUAAUGCUGUCAGCUUCACUCCCAAAACAGUGGUCUUUUACAACUGCAGAACGAAUAACAAGCAGCCGGGGACAAGCAAAUGCUUGUUAUAUGGUCUUUGGAGGAAAACAGAAGAUGUUUAAAAAAAAACGCUGAAAUCAGAGGAGGAUGUGAUUUGUGCUCCGUGCUGAAAGUACAAUGCCGUUAAAGUGUGCGGAUAAACUCCUCAAUCUGUUAUCUCAUGCUGGUGGUGCAGAUCAGAGUUGGAGCCGGUUUUGUGUUUCAGUGAAAACUUUAAAAAAUGUACAAAAAUAAGUCACUUUAUUUGAAUCCGGUAGAAGAAAGUAGUUCAGGAAAACAGCUCAGCACUAGUAGAAGAGCACAUCUUCAGAUUCAAAUACUAGAAUCAGCAACACAUAGAAGCAGCGUUUAAUGAAAACUCCUUCAACUUUGGGUUUAUUAACUUGGGUGAGCCUUUGAUCAAAGCUGUUUUUGCUUAUCUUGUUUUAUACAUGAGUGUAAGUGUUUUCUUUUCUCCUCUUUUUUCUUUUAAAAGUCACAUGUAUCACUCAUUGUGAAUCUUUGCUCAGAAAAUGUUGCUCCAGCAGUGUGCGGUACUUUGUCUUACACCCACAGCAGCAAUUUUAAGUAAAAACUUUAAGAGUUUUUAGGCAACUGGAAUUAAUAUUGUGCCAUAAAAUAUUUCAACCAGCUAUGCACUCAAAAGUCAGCCUGCUGCCUCAUACAGACUUUUUGACCUCUCGAGACACAGGAAACCAAACGCAUUGGUAGCUGAUUUUAAAGUUUUUUAUGUAUUUUUUAUGUUCUAUACAUGCAGUCAUGGCUAAUUCUGAAAACAAUCCCCCAAGAUUCAGACAAAUAGUUGAGUAAAUAGCUGAUGCCUUGUGUGCUGUUUUAAACUCUGCCUUGAACAAAUAGAGCAUGCAGAAAUAGUUGACACACAUUCACCGUGUUAUAAGAGCAAUCAGGACAAAGACUGCUGUGCUUUUUUUUUUUUAUCAAAUAAAAUUCAUAAAGUGUCCUGUUCUAGUUUCCAAUCAGAAGCAGGAGCUGACUGAGGCGAUGAGCAGCCUUUGAUUGACCUUAAACGAAGAAUCUGGUCCUCGAAAAAAGACAAAUCAGGAUUAUUUGAACGUUUUUUUGUGAAUUGCCAAAUUAAAGCCCCAGUGAUGACUGACCUGAUACUGACUACUGAGGGCUACUUGAUUUAUCUUCUUUAUUGAAUCUGAUUUUGUGCUUGAAAUUGAUGUAACUCUUGAGGCUUCCUCAGAUGUAGAGUUAACCCUUAAGUCUAACUUUGUUAUUCUGUUAAAUGUGAAAGAAUAAUCACCUUUAACUCUUAAAAAUCCCAGCCUGUGUAUUGCUGCUGAAAUGCAUUUUUUUCAACAUCCCCCUGAUUUGUUCAAGUCCAAAGCCACGGGUCACACAGUGCUUCUUUCUCCCCCCCUCCGUCCCUCUCUUGCUCCUCCUCAUACACAAACAUAUCCCUCCAUCUCCUGUCGGCCUCCCUCCUCCUGCCCCUCCGUCCUUCCCUCUCCUCCUAUCUUGAUAAUGCAGCUCUUUUCUCUCUGUCGGGGUGGAGGGCUGCCUGAACCAACAUUGUCCCCUAUGCCGGCUCUAGUGGGGGGCCCUAUUGUGUGUGAAGGAAUGGGGAGUUAACACCCAUGUCUGAACCUGCUCAAUGGGUGCAUUGUGUCUGAAUCUUCCCUCGGCUCACCCAAUCUCACCCUGCGUCUCUCCUGCCCUUGCACGGGCCAAGGAAGGCAGGGUGUCCUCCAUGUCCUCAGCCAUUAAAAACAGAAAACAUAAACACAACUCAAAACUCACAAACACUCAAACUGGUAUUCUCAGCUCUUUGCUUUCUGUGUCCGGUUGAGUUUUCCAGCAAACUGCAGUGGGUUCAACACACUCCUGCACAAAAAGUGGGGGGUCAGUGGGUGCAUGGUUACUAAAGGAGGCCCCUGCGUCUCGUUUUUGUUAUAGAACAGAACAGAGAGAUGUAUAAAGGACAAUAUUGUAUUAGCAUGAUAACAGGAUUCAGAUGCUUUUUGAAAUAUCUCGAGUUGUAGGGCGUCGAUUGAAUCGGCUCAAAUUAUUACGUUAGAUUCAGCAAAGUUUCAAAGCAAAUCGUUCAAAAGAAUCUGAGGCAUGAUUAAAAAAGAUAUUAGACAUAAUGUUGAACCCUAUUGAAGUAUAAAGUGGAUUUUUUAUUGUGAGUUUUAAUGAGAGUGAUUUAUAUUUCAGGUUAAACAUUUAAAACAAUGAGCAGAAAUGGACUCGUCUGUUUCAGUAUUCUGAACAUUUAUUUGUUUCUGUAGCAGCGAGAGCCUUGGGGCAGGUUACAAAAGAGCAAGUUGGUGUUUUCUUCCCACAUAUUUUUAAUCAAAGUGUUAGUGUUUACAUUUGCAUUUGCAUUGAGCACAGGGAGGCUGAAUGCCAAAGGUGAGAUUUUGAAAAACACUCUAUUUUCCCUUUUUUUGCAGAUGGAAACAAGGGUGGGUGGUUGGAAGGCUGCAUAAAGGCUGCUGGAUGACUGAACUCAGAGACCCGGUGCAGCUCAUCAUCAUUGCCACGGGCUUUCGUCUUCCUCCUCUUUCUCCUGUGGCCCCGUACCAUUCCAUCCAGGGGUCCAGCAGAGCCAGCGAAGCCCAGGCGGGGAGCUUGUGAGUGGGCUGGGAAGGAUGGAGAAGCUCCCUGAAGGCUCGGAGCACCUCUGGAGCUAGCGGCGUGCAGGAGAAAUCAAUAUGAAACACAGAGCGCUGCACAGCUCUGAGUGGGGUUUCCUGUGUUAGUCUGCGGCCUCGGGGCCCGCAGACCUCCAAAGGACAGGCCCUGCAUGGCCCCUCUCAGCUGCAGAACCGGACCUCAGUUCCGAUCUCCGCUGGCUGUGUGUGGUUCUGCUGAAGGGGAUUGCUCCCCAAAUAAUACCCAGAAUGUGGAGAGACCGCCGAGAGGGAUAUUUCUUUUUCUCUUGAUUUUUCCUUCCUUCAUAAGAUUGACAUAUCCCCCACCUCCUGCCUCCAGCUGCUUAAAAACCAGUUUGGGAGAUCUGCUUUGGACUCUCUCUCCGUUCUCAACUCACCCGCUGUUUAUUCCCUGACCAGUUUUUAGAUUUGACAAAGAGACAGUACGAUCUUUAUUUUCUCCUCCACUUUCUCUUGGCUUGCAGUUACCAUGGUGAGCUGUAGAUGUGUCUGUUACGACCAGAAACGCAGGUACACGAAGUUUCAGCAUCUUUUUUUUUUUUUUUUGCUCCUCCAUGAUGUCUGCUCUUCAAUGCAAGACUGUAAAAAAAAAGUUCCCAACCACAGAGAGGGAGGAAGAUCACAGAGCAGAGAGACCCUGACACUCUGUAGAGGAGCUGGUGAAAUGGCAAGUAUCUCUCUUAAGCACUCAACAUAUUCCACUCCAUGAACAGCUCUCAGUGUGCUCUCAUUAAGUCAAACCCUGCCUCAUAUGGUGCUGCAUGUGUGUGUUUGUGCUCCCUUGUACCUCACAUGGUUCAGGGGGAUGUCAAUUACAGCUUCAAACAGAGGUUUCCCAAACUCUCAGAAAUACUUAGAAGUUAAAAAAGUUAAUCGGCAUAUUUUCAUCAAACCCCUCUGAUCAGUUGAAAAAACGUGUUUCUGUAUUCUCCAGCACAGAGCGCUCUGUUUGUGUGUGUAAGUGGUCUGUAUACGCUCCCAUUUGAACGGGUUUGCCAGUGUGCAGCAGCAGCAGCAGCAGCAGCACCCACAGCUCGUCAUCACAGCGAUGCAGUACGCCUGUUCCCAUCCAGAUGGGCACAGAUUCAGACAAAAUGGCCGCCAGUCUUCCCACUCUGCCAAAGAUGGCGGGCGCAACUCUGUCGCCUGCCAUCUGUGCAUCCGUUAGCUGUUGUCCAAUGCAAAUCAGGGCUAAUUGCAUUUGCAUAACCUCCAAACCGUCAGGUCGUUUGCACGCUCUGGUAAUUGCUCGUAUGAAGCGACGGCGUAGAUGACGUUCAAGCAGAAGCGCGUUCGUGUUUUAGCGUGUUUUGGGGCAUAAGUGUGUGGGUUGUUUUUUUUUAGGUUGUGGGUUUUGGCGUGCUGAAACAUGUCUGAUCGCUCCCUGAGAUCAAGAGUGUGGUCGUUCUGUGCCAUAUGGCGUGUUUGCGUGUGAUUCCCUUGCAUGCAAAUGUGACACUGUACUGAAAGAUUAAGUCAAAGCUGUUUUAGAAUCAGAGCUCUGUCACGCACACACACACAGACACACACACAUACAUAAUACACAGAUGAAAGCAUUAAGCAAAUAGAGCAGCUCAGACAUGCUCACAGGCUUUAAUUAAAAAGGGAUCCAUAGGCCCAACAAACUCUAGACACACCGCCAUCGUAAUAGUCUCAUAUUCAUGCACGUUGGUGUCUGGUUACCAUGGCGCUAAACAAAUGGGGGAAAUGGUUAAAUUAGCCGCACAUGACACGAUAAAUAGGUGAUAAAUUCUCCUGGUGAAGAAUGAUAUCAGUGUUAUUUCAAAGGAAUACAGAGUGAGACAGAAACGAUAGAUCUGCUGAAGGAUCAGCUGGAAAUAUUUCACCCAGAGAUCCGAUAACCUGGUGAAUACUGUUCGGAUCUGUUUAUGUAAUCAGACUGAAGCGCUGUGAAAUUGAAUAUCUCACGUUUCUGCUUUUCCACCACUGUGUCGCUUUCGAAGUCUCAUUUGAUUGAGCCGCUCUUGUUUUUGGGGGGCGUUUAUUCAUGUGAUGAGAGUCGUCUUUGUAACAAGGCGGCGCUCGUAUUUGCAUUCGCCCAUCGGGGCAGCUGCAGUGCUGUACAGUUAUGUCUACUGUGGGCAGCAAAAUGGCGGUCACGCAAAUCACAGGGUCUGUCUGCUGGUCGUGGGAGCUGAGGCGAGAGAGGAGGGGGAGGAGGAGGAGGAGGGGGAGGAUUUCAGGGCGUCUGGUUUGAGAAUAUGAGGGAAGGUUGCAGGGUCUAGACUAUGGGGUUGGGGGGGUCGCUCAUGAGGGGAUGAUGGAGUGGGGGGGGGUAUUUGUAGAGGUUAUUAUUUGAAGGGGGGGGUGUCUGGUUUUAGGAGGAGCAAUUAAUGAAGGAGUGAAGAGGAGAGGAGGGGGUUUAGUUUGUCUGCAUUUGUGAACAUGUGUCUGUGUCUCGGACAUUUGCAUAGAGCAAAGAGGGCGUCCAUAUGCCGCGCGGCACGGGGAGGCGAGGCGGGUCUGUCAUUUCAGGGUCUGAGCUGAGCGAAGACCUUGCCAAACACCCAGGAACACACACUUUACCACAGUCCUCACAAUAACUCUGAAGCACUCCUACCAUGCUAGAGCCUCAUGUUAGCAGCAUCACUGUUUCUGUCCUUUUUACCAGCCAAUGAGGGGACGCGGAGCUGCUUUCAGCCAAUAACGGCGCGUAAAGACCCAGGAAGAGGAAGGGAAGGCGCGGAGAGUUUACCCUUGAUGUGCCAGGCGAGAGAGGAUAAACAAUAAAACGCUUCUGCGCGGAGAGAGAGAGAGAGAGAGAGAGAGCACAGGGGGAGGAAGAAAAUGAGCAUCACUCUGCAUUCAUAACCCAGUUGGAAGGCAGAAAGAUAGAAAAUAAAGCAGCUGAUUAUGGGGAAAUAGAGAUCGAACGUCACACAUUUUCUUUGUAUGCCAGACACAGGGUGGUAGAAUGAUUACACGUCAAUCUGAGGGGUACAAAGGCAAAGAAAAGCCCCCCCUCCGCUGAAAAGAAAUGGAGUCAUGAAGACGGCGAGAGCUGCCAGGCAUAAAAACAUAACAAAACUCUUUAACAGGAGCGGAAAGAGGAACAAAAUAUUCCUUCUAAAAUGAUCUCUGUUGAAGAGUGCACUCUUAAUGUGAGGCAAAAAUGAUCAUAAGAGUGUUUCAUUUUCUGCUGUAAAAUCAGACAUGGGAUUUUUAAAACCUAGAUUUAUUAUUCAUGUGUUUAAACAGGACCUUCGUUAUAUCGUUGCUACACAAACGAUAUUCCAGUGUUGCCUUUAGCUCAUGAAAAGAGACACAGAAGAAUUACAGCAUUUUUAAAAAGUCUGUCUCAUAUUUUUAGAGUCACAAAAAAUCUGACUUUAUUUAAUUCAGACCUUUAAUUACUACACAUUAUAUUAAUUUUACAUAAUAGAUUUCAGUUUUUAAUAAUUGCAGUUCUCUUUUUAUAAAAUUUAAACAUAUCCGAAUUAAAGUAGUUCAUUUCAAGGCGAGAGGAAAGGAAAGAAAGGUCUCUCUCUCUCUCUCCAUCUGAGAAGAAAUGAAGUCAUGUAUAGACAGGUCGUGGUCGUCAAAAGGCCUUAAACAUGCAGACAUCCAGACACAGACACAAUGCAGAUCUCCAUAAUGUGGCACAUGAAUACUGGCACGUUUAAACCACGAUCGUCUCGGAGCUGAGGGUCUGAGUGGAGCGUGGGAAUGUGUGGCGAACAUAUGCAGAACAGUCAGGCGCUGGCGAGACGGCCCUGCUAGCAUGAAUGCUGUCGUAGCAGGUGAAAAGAGGACCCUAGAGUUCAGGGGUCAAGGCCAGUGCAGGGGCUGUCUGGCUCAUGUGUGUGUGUGUGUGUGUGUGUGUGUGUGUGCGUGUGUCUAUGUGUGUGUGAGAGAGAGAGACACGCACACACUCUGGUUGUCGUCUGGGUCUUGAUGCUAAUGAAGUAGCCCGGCUGUUUGAUAAGCACUGCUGUCUAUUGUUAGCCCAGUCUGGUGCUUCAGAGAGGACUAGACGGGGUGUAGGUUUGGACAAGAGCUCCUUCAUCAUGUUCUAGUCGCAGCAGAGCAGCAGACAGGCAGAUCGACAGGCAGCCUGAAGUCAGGCCUCCCCUGCUGAAACUCUGAUUGUGUUGUCUAGAAGACUUCUGUGCUUUCUCUGACGUUCCCCCUCUGAGUGACACGUUGGUCUAGGGCUCUGCAGUGUGGUGCCGCUCU
rnacentral:lncRNA from 1 species